UUUUUAAAAUAUAGUGAGACAUGCCUGGACAGGUCGGUCAGCAGUUAGGAUGCCCACUACCUUUACAGACGACUCAGGUUUAAAUGUCUCCAGAACCCAUGUUGGGUCACUCAUUACCACCUGGAACUCUAGCACCAGGGGGUCUGAGGCCCUCUUCUCAGACACACACACCCACACACACACCCCAAUAACAUCCCAGUAUCAUCAUCAUCAUCACCACCACACCACUACUGUCAUUAUCAUCAUCAUCUUUAAAAAGAAAUACAGUAAGUGAGGUUAUGUUGUUUUCAUCCCAAUUUCCCGGAGGCUUUGUGAAUCAAUAAUUUUUGAUGAGUUUCACUAUAAAGGCUUAGAGAAGUUGUCUGCAAAACCUAGACUUAGGAGGACUAAAGAGAUGCCUCAGCAGUUAGGAACACUGGCCGUAUUUCCAGAGGACCUGGAUUUGAUUCCCAGCACCUACCUGAUGGCUCUUAACUGUCUGUAACUCUAGUCCAGAGGAUCUAGUGCCCUUUUCUGGUCUCUGUGAGCACUAGGCACACACAUGGUGCAGAGUCAUAUAUGCAGGCAAAACACAUGUGCUCAUAAAAUU
rnacentral:lncRNA from 1 species